rnacentral:rRNA from 1 species
GAUGAACGCUGGCGGCGUGCCUAAUACAUGCAAGUCGAGCGAACGGACGAGAAGCUUGCUUCUCUGAUGUUAGCGGCGGACGGGUGAGUAACACGUGGAUAACCUACCUAUAAGACUGGGAUAACUUCGGGAAACCGUAGCUAAUACCGGAUAAUAUUUUGAACCGCAUGGUUCAAAAGUGAAAGACGGUCUUGCUGUCACUUAUAGAUGGAUCCGCGCUGCAUUAGCUAGUUGGUAAGGUAACGGCUUACCAAGGCAACGAUGCAUAGCCGACCUGAGAGGGGGAUCGGCCACACUGGAACUGAGACACGGUCCAGACUCCUACGGGAGGCAGCAGUAGGGAAUCUUCCGCAAUGGGCGAGAGCCUGACGGAGCAACGCCGCGUGAGUGAUGAAGGUCUUCGGAUCGUAAAACUCUGUUAUUAGGGAAGAACAUAUGUGUAAGUAACUGUGCACAUCUUGACGGUACCUAAUCAGAAAGCCACGGCUAACUACGUG